AAAGGAAAGAAAAAUCUUGAAAAAGCUGAGCUUCCAAUCUCCUCCCACUGGUUUCUGUGAAGGAUGACUUCAGUCCCUUUCUUAACUAAUUCUGUCACUGUAAAAUCCUACAGUCAUUCUUCCACACAUAAAGGACAAAUAAACUCAAGAGGAGGAUCCAGAUGCUUUCAGUUUUAACUAUUCACCAAUGGUGGAAAAGGCAGAAUGCCUAAGCUAUGUCUUGGUGGCCAAUAGGAUGGCUGUGUAUCUCCCACAUGACUCGCUGCCUCUGUCUUUCACAUGGGCUGUAAUUUAGUUCAAUUCAGAACUGCAGAUAGUACAGCUUUCACAGGAGCAAGGAUGCCUGAGCACAAGUGGCUGAGUUCUGAGUGACUUUAUGAAGCACUUUCCUACCUCCCUCCGUCAUGAAAACGGGGAUUCUGCACCUGCAUCAGGGACAGUCUGGCAAAAGCCUCUGCUAUGCCUCCGGGGACAAGGAACUAGCACAAAUAACCAUUUUGAAAUUGGAUCUUGGCAAAAUUAGCAACAAAUCCAUAAAGGAAACUGAAAGCAAUUGGAUCUCCAUCUUCAGUGGAGUCCCACAAAAGUUGGAGAAAUACGUUGUCUCCAAAGAGGAUACAGCUGUACCCUAAAAUUAGGACAUAAUUAAGGUAUGAAAUUUCUUUUAGUUCAUUUCUUUAGUUUGGUUGCAAUGCUUUGUUCUUUCCAUUACAGAUAAUUUUUUCUUUUUUUUUUCCCCCAGUCUCUCUCUCUCUUCCUUUUCUUCCUCUCAUUAGCAAAUGUCUUUUAUAAUUGAUCUUGUUUACUGUCCUUUCAUCAAAUAUAUGCCACAUCACUCAGGCGAGCCAUCUGACAGGGCACCUAAAUACACAUUAAAAAGUACUGGGAGCCAUGCGUCACUUUGUCUCAUCGGGGCAGUUAUAAUAAGCAUCUUGAUGCCACUGAAGGCAAUGCUGUAUUCAGAUAAUAGCCUUCAUUUUUACCCUUUUUAAAUAUAAAAGUAAACCUUGAAGCAUUUGAAGGACCUAACUAAACAACACACAUGUGGAAACAGACCAGGGAGCCUUUGAAAAAAAAAUCUCUAUGUAAAAUCUGUAAAGAAUCUUAGCAGUUUUUCAAAAAGACCUCCAGAUACAUGAUGCCUGUGAAUAAGACACAUGACCACCUUAAUUAUGAGAAUCAUUAUUGUAGGCCCUCUGGGCCAUUUUUGCUCCCAGCAGGAUUUUUCUUUCCUCAUCCAGAGUUUCCGGGGAUGUCUACUAUUCUCUGUGUGUAAAGCACAUUUAAGUGGUCCCACAAAGCUGCACUAAUUAAACACACACACACACACACACACAAACACACACA